rnacentral:misc_RNA from 1 species
GAUGAAGAACGCAGCGAAAUGCGAUACGUAGUGUGAAUUGCAGAAUUCAGUGAAUCAUCGAAUCUUUGAACGCACAUUGCGCCCUUUGGUAUUCCUUAGGGCAUGCCUGUUCGAGCGUCAUUUAAACCUUCAAGCUAAGCUUGGUGUUGGGUGACUGUCCGCUUCACUGCGGACUCGCCUCAAAAUUAUUGGCGGCCGGUACAUUGGCUUCGAGCGCAGCAGAAACGCGAACUCGGGCCCGUCGUAUUGGCUCCCAGAAGCUAUCUUCACAAUUUUGACCUCGGAUCAGGUAGGGAUACCCGCUGAACUUAAGCAUAUCAAUAAGCGGAGGA